CCUACGGGCGGCAGCAGUGGGGGAUAUUGCACAAUGGGGGGAACCCUGAUGCAGCGACGCCGCGUGGGUGAAGGAGUGCUUCGGCAUGUAAAGCCCUAUCGGCAGGGAAGAAGCAAGACGGUACCUGCCUACGAAGCCCCGGCUAACUACGUGCCAGCAGCCGCGGUAAUACGUAGGGGGCAAGCGUUAUCCGGAUUUACGGGGUGUAAAGGGAGCGUAGACGGUUGUGCAAGUCUGGAGUGAAAGCCCGCGGCUCAACUGCGGAACGGCUUUGGAAACUGUGUAACUGGAGUGCUGGAGAGGUAAGCGGAAUGCCUGGUGUAGCGGUGAAAUGCGUAGAGAUCAGGAGGAACACCGGCGGCGAAGGCAGCUUACUGGACAGUAACUGACGUUGAGGCUCGAAAGCGUGGGGAGCAAACAGGAUUAGAUACCCCAGUAGUC
rnacentral:rRNA from 1 species